rnacentral:rRNA from 1 species
CAGUGGGGAAUAUUGCACAAUGGGCGAAAGCCUGAUGCAGCGACGCCGCGUGAGGGAUGACGGCCUUCGGGUUGUAAACCUCUUUCAGCAGGGACGAAGCGCAAGUGACGGUACCUGCAGAANAAGCACCGGCUAACUACGUGCCAGCAGCCGCGGUAAUACGUAGGGUGCAAGCGUUGUCCGGAAUUACUGGGCGUAAAGAGUUCGUAGGCGGUUUGUCGCGUCGUUUGUGAAAACCAGCAGCUCAACUGCUGGCUUGCAGGSGAUACGGGCAGACUUGAGUACUGCAGGGGAGA